CCCAGUGUGGCUCAGUGGGUAAAUGUUGGUUUCACAAGCUACCAACAACUGUGGGUUCAAUUCCCACCCAAGGCA